AAUAAUAAAUUUGAUAAUUCUUCCUCCUCCUUCCAGUUCUUUCUCAUUUUCUUCCUCUUCUUUCUUCCAAUCAAAGAGGAUUUUUGGAGGACAACAGUCAAGUGGCUGCUGAGGAUAUUGGGAACUAUUCUUUGUUUACUAUUUGAGAGGAGGUUGCAUUUUAUGAGGAGGUGUAUGAUCAAGUUUUUGAGGGCUUCUAGAGAAGACUAAAGCCUUGUUUAGAUCAACCUUUCUGCAAAAGACUAAUGGACAUCUUUAAUCUUGCUCCAUCACAUAGAAUCUUCUUUGUCAAUAAUAAUGGAAAGGCAUGCAAAUGAAGACUCCAAGCAAGAUGUAGCUCAAAGUGCAAAAACCAUAAAAGUUGAAUGUGCUGAAGACAUUGGUACCAAAUUCCUUGAUUGUCCAUACCAGCAGAAAAACAUAUUCUCAAAUGAGCACUCAAAUGUCGACAAACCUUGUCGAUUUUCUGAGUUUGUGGGGUCUGCAGGUGAAUCUGCUAUUUUUGAUGAGUCCGUUACAUUUGCGGGGAUGCUAGUCAAAAGGACCUUCUUGCUGUUUGUAGCAAGUGCAAUGAUGGUGCAGAGCACAUUUACUGCAUGUGUACAAGGCUGGACAAAGUUCCUGAUAACAGCUGGAUAUGUGAAGAAAUGCAUGCUUUCGGAAGUUAAUGAGAAGAUGAACAAAUCAAGUUUGAGAAGCUUGUGGCAUGUCGAAACUACAUAUCUUCAUAUCAGACAUAUGAAGGUGGUGAAAUGUCAAAGGGUUCUGAUGUUAAGGUAUAUAAUAAAGGAUUGGAUUUUGAGAAAAGCAGAGGAGACAAUGUAGGUUCUCUACCAUCCGGUGAGAAAACUUCACGCACUGUAGCUUCUGCAUUAGUAACAAAAAAACAGCACUUGGUGGAAAAUCUGAGUCAUCUUUUAUAGCUAGAGAAAGCCAAGCUCAUCAGGCUCAGAAUUUCGGAAUAAAGCCAGGUCACAAAUGGUGUGCAGCCAAUGAUUUCUCUUCUAGAACUAGAAGCAUCCAGGAGAAAGCACCCUUACCUACUGUAUCAGGUAAUCUAAUUAAGUCAUUCAACGAUUCAGAUAAAAGACCAAAAGUCCUGCGGUUAGAUGAGCUUCCAGGAAGCCAGUUUUCCAGUGAAGCUAGCAACAAGAAAAAGGGUUUUGCUCUCAGAAAAAUGGGAAUUCUGUGUCAUUUAAUGAUGCAAGUUUUGGCCGCUCAAGUACAUUUGGUCAAAAAUGUAAGAGGAUUCCUCCAAAGGUACCUGAAGAUCGUGAUAAGAAGAGAUUGAGGUACAUGAGAGAAGAUAAUUCAACUGAAACGACAUCUACCUCUGACUUUAAGAGGCCUCAAGUUUGCUCACCAAUAGAUGGUUUGCGUGUUUCUACAUCAUCAAAUGAUAAGAAGUUUGGGUCUCAUCGUGAAAUGAUAUUGCCAGAGGCUUGUGGAAGCAAGUAGCGUGAUGCCAGAGCUGUUCAGAUUCCAUGAGACUCAGAGGUGAAUUUGAAUUUCAGAGUUCUGAGAGGCUACCCAGGGUAUCAUAUAGGAUUCAAGCACGCUUGUAUACUCAGGCAUCACCCAGAGUUCCUAAAGCAGUUAAGAAAUUCUCUGACAAACUUCUUUUGGAGGAGGUGUCUUGCUCAAAUGCAUGACCUACUCAGUUCCAGAAAUAUUGUCCCCUAGAUGAUAGCAUUGGGCUUUACUUUUUCUCGCAGAAGACAUUAGCGACUAUGGAAAUUAGGAGACCUUAUUGAAGUGUUUGGUUGAUUAUGACCUGACUCUUAGAGAAAACCAUCGGGGGAUUGAACUUCUUAUAUUCUUAUCCCACCUGGUUCCGAAGAGCUCCCAGUGUAUGAAGUGGAUCUUUACUGGUUUAUUUUAUUUCUUGAGAUUGGAUUUGACAUAGUCACUGAACUGUCAUUGCUUUGUUUUUAUAUCUUGAGAUUGGCUUUGACAUGUCCACAUCCAUAUGAACAGCUCAUUUACAGCUGGAGAGGAGCAUGUAAGACACUUGGUUGACACCCAGAUCUCUCAGCUAAAGUUGUAAUGUCUUAUAGCAUAUAUGUUCCCAUCUGAGAUCUUGUGUAUAGUUGUCUUCAGAUAAGGCCCUUAAGUUGUUUUGACAAAUAAUGGAUUCUAUUGAUUCACAGUUCUUUCCAAUGGAUAGGAACUUCCUAAGUCCAAAAUAUGGUUGUCUGGUCUGGAAUCAUUUUUUGAUUGGGAAAUGGAGAAGAAAUCAUAGUAUGGUCAAGGACACCAACGUUUGCUGGGAUAUUUGGACAUGCAUUCAUCUCUAUGGAAACGGUUUCCAUUGUGAAGUCCAGUGUCAAAUCUGGUCUUAUUGAGUGAAGAUCAUGAAGUAAAUGAGAGCCACCAGAGUAGCUGGAUGAUGCCAUUUUUGUCCUGUUUGAGAAGAGGUUAUAUUGAUUGAUUUUUUAUGGUUGAGGCUGCAAGCUAUCAAGAACUCUAGAAAAGUUGGAGGAGCAGAUUUGCUAUACAUUUUCAGCAGAGCCGGAUAGAGCUGAUUGCAAGUUAGCAGUGAAGUUGGUGAAAUUCCUGUCAUGUUGAUGUUAUGAAACAGAAUCAGUAGUAAGAACCUUGAUCGUUUCUAGGAGACACCAAAAGCUGCUACUAAGAGGGCUGUAUGACUGUCAUAAUUGCUGGGGUGGGGUAGAAAUGCCAUAACUCGAUUGAAGUAGUAAUGAAUAGGGAGUUGCCUGUGUCUUGAUUCAUUCAGGGCAUAAUGUCCAUUAGGAUAAAUUAGUGAUGGACCACUAUGGCUGAAAGUGGAUUCAGGGCAGCAGAAGUUUCUGGCAUGUUGCCGCUAAUA